rnacentral:rRNA from 1 species
AACGGCCGCGGUAUCCUAACCGUGCAAAGGUAGCAUAAUCACUUGCCUAUUAAUUGUAGGCUAGAAUGAAUGGGUUAACGAAAUAAAGACUGUCUCAAUUAAUCACCUAAAAAUUGCUAUCUAUCUGAAGAAGAGUAGAUAAUCUCGAAGGACAAGAAGACCCUAUAGAGCUUAAUUUUAAUUAUAGAGCUACACUAUAAAAAUAUUCGGUUGGGGCGACCCAGGGCUAAUCAAUCACCCACUACAUAAAAGAUAAAUUAAUCAAGUAAUUGACCCCUAAAAGAUCAUAAGAACAAGCUACCUUAGGGAUAACAGGCUAAUCCCACUCAAGAGUCCUUAUCAACAGUGGGGUUUGGCACCUCGAUGUUGGCUUAGG